rnacentral:lncRNA from 1 species
GAGUGUACUCUUUGAGUUUGGCAACUCACCACCAGCAUCCAACCAAAUUUAGCGGAUCAACGGCGCGUCAACUUAGUUCCUGGUCAGCUCGCGAGUUGAUUUUAUCACGUCCUACACCAUCCAUCGGAUUAAUCAGGCUCACCCUGCUUCAAUUUCCCAAUCAAUCUCUCGAUCUCGCAAUCGCAUGGCGCAAACACAGCGCAACCGCGAGGGGCUACGCUUCAUGGGCGCAAGGACUAAUCUAAGAUUAAAGGUGCUCGGUCGCAGCACGGUCGUGCACCACUGCCGUACAGUACCACAAUUAACAACGCGCUCCUCGUCCUUCUAGAUUUGUACGGCAAAUAGGAACGUUUACGAACCGAAUCCACGGGAAGGCCGUGCUGUUGCGGCAAAUCUUGGCAGCCCAAUCCGAUAUUUGGGUGAAUGAGUCGAUUGCUGUAGAUAUUGCCGGCAGGCGCAACGAUGCCUGGAGAGACUUUGUGAAUUUAUGGUCAGGCGAAAUAAGACCACCAGCCGUCACUCCAACCUCACCACCACGGACGAUGAAUUAUCCAACAUGAACGGGCGACAGCGCUUGAUACAUGUGCACCGUCUUUUCAGCCAAAAAACACAUGCUUACAUGCACGUACCGUACCAGUUGUGAGCGUGAAAACAACACAUGCAGAAGCCACCUUCGCCCAAAUUACGUGCC